rnacentral:rRNA from 1 species
AACCCAAUAAGCGGAGGAAAAGAAACCAACAGGGUUGCCCUCAGUAACGGCGAGUGAAGCGCCAAAAGCUCAAAUUUGAAAUCUGGCUGCUUUUUUAGUAGUCCGAGUUGUAAUUUGAAGAAUAGAUCCUUGGAGAGGCGCCUUGUCUAUGUUCCUUGGAACAGAACUUCGCAGAGGGUGAGAAUCCCGUUUGGCGAGGUGUGCUGAUCCGUGUAAGGGCUGUUCGACGAGUCGAGUUGUUUGGGAAUGCAGCUCUAAGUGGGUGGUAAAUUCCAUCUAAAGCUAAAUAUUGGCGAGAGACCGAUAGCGAACAAGUACAGUGAUGGAAAGAUGAAAAGAACUUUGAAAAGAGAGUGAAAAAGUACGUGAAAUUGUUGAAAGGGAAGGUUAUUAGAUCAGACUUGGAUUUUUUAUUAUAUUUGUCUCCUUGUGGGGCAUUCACUAAUUUUUAAUCCAGCCCAGCAUCGAUUGGGAUGGCGGGAAAAAGAGGGAGGAACGUGGCUGUGCAUUUAUGUCCAGUGUUUAUACCCUUUCUUAAUACCGCCUGUCUCGAUCGAGGACUCCGGCAAAUUUAUUUUUGCCUAGGAUGCUGGCGUAAUGAU